rnacentral:rRNA from 1 species
GGGAGGUAGUGACAAUAAAUAACAACGCAGGGCUCUUUCGGGUCUUGUUAUUGGAAUGAGUACGAUUUAAAUCUCCUAACGAGGAACAAUUGGAGGGCAAGUCUGGUGCCAGCAGCCGCGGUAAUUCCAGCUCCAAUAGCGUAUAUUAAAGUUGUUGCAGUUAAAAAGCUCGUAGUUGAACUUCAGGCCUGGCUGGACGGUCCGCCUUCCGGGCGAGCACUGUCUGUGGUCGGGUCCUACCUUCUGGCGAAGCGUCAUGGCCUUAACCGGCCGUGGCGGGGAACCAGGACUUUUACUGUGAAAAAUUAGAGUGUUCAAAGCAGGCAAUUCGCUUGGAUACAUUAGCAUGGAAUAAUGGAAUAGGACAAUGGUUCUAUUUGUUGGUUUCUAGGACUGUUGUAAUGAUUAAUAGGGAUAGUUGGG